rnacentral:rRNA from 1 species
AUGCCUGAAUCGACAGUUUCUUCAGGGCCAGGCCCGAGCGAUGCACGUGGGCGGCGGCGGCUGCACGCGUGCGGCCACACUCAAGAAGCCGCGUUGCUUCCCGAAGCGCCGGCAGUUAUUAGCCUCACCGCCCCUCACCACUCCCUUUCCCCACUUUCCCAACUCUCAUCGGCAGCGGCGGAUCGGAGGAGAGCAAGAAGACCACCAGACUCCAUCACCGACGAGCGGAUCAUCACCUGGCGAGCGUCAAUGGCGAUUGAGGAGAGCAAUGAGAUGGGCACUGAGGUGCUCCCAGCCGUUGACAACAAGGGCAAGCAGCCCCUUCAUCCAAUGCCCGAGGAGGUUGUGCUGCCGUCCACCGCCGACGAAGACCCGAAGAUGCCUGAGGUUGGCGACGACGAGCGCAUGGAGGAGCCCCCCCCAGCAACAAGUGUCGCAACUACGACCACUACCAUGAGGAGGAUGGCCCAACUCACUUCUGCAAGGUCAUCCUUGCACCGAAGCUUGAGUGCAUCCCCAUUCCCCUGGACUUCACCAAGCACUUCGUCGCAGUGCCGAUGGAGUUCAAGCUCGGGAACAAACACCGUCUGCUCCUGGAAGGUGACGGUAAAGCUGAUGAACGGCAGGGUGACCCUAGAUCAGGGUUGGGCCACCUACGUAGCUGUUCAUGAGAUCAAGAUCGGCUAUAUGGUGACGUGCAAGCUCCUCACUCCCGACACCCUCAAGGUCAUCAUCUUCGACGAGGAUGCAUUGAGGUCGUCAACAAGUGCGGGAAGCACGACGAAGCCUUCUCCGCCAAGGAGUAGGGCUGGGGCACCUCCUUUCUAA